AUUUCGCGCCUCAGAUGAAGUAUGUAUUUGCUUCCUCCACUCAUGUUUUGUCAUGGGAUUCAGCAAGAUUGAAGUGAACUUGAGGAGGUUGCUCAAUGCUGCUCCUCAGCAAAAAAAUCAGUAUGUUGCUACGUCGCGUGAACAGCUAGAACAGCUGGUGGCAGAUAAAUAACUAGAGCGCCUACCAAGAAAGCUUCAAGAGGAUUUGAUAGAUGAAAUGGUUAGGUUAGCAAAGCAUCUGAAGGAGAGUAGCCUCAUGAUGCAUCAAUCCUUGCAAGACACUGAGAAGAUAGUCGAUUCUACAGAGAGAGCAGUGGAACAUAGCCUGGCAAGCACGGGUCAUGCCAUUGCAAGGGCCAUAGAGAUCUAUUCCGAGAGUUUCAAGAUCACAUGCUUCACGUGCCGCAUAAUCUUUCUCACGAUGUGCAUCUUUUUCACAGUUGUGCUGCUCAUUCGUGUGACUUGAAUCCCCGUUGAUGCUUUGGAGGAUUUAUUCUUUUUGGGGGCAUACCCUAUCCAUGGUCUGGUCUAAUCAGAUCAAUGGUCUGGAUCACCAAACCGAGGGGUCCUGCAUGUACAGAUUGGUACAUCAGCAUCAGGAACCUAUAAUUUCUCAUAUGUGAUCGUGAUAGCAGCAUCGAGUCCAGCAAAAGGGUUUUAGUGAUCGGGAAUGACAUCUUCUUAGUGUUCUGUUCCUUUAUGGGACGUGCAGCGAUCAGUUCAAAGACAAUGGUCAGGUAAUUUGAGCCCGGCCCAGUGCUGCAAGUCCAAAAGAAGGCAUGAUGAUGGUGACAACGACGCUGGCAGUGGCGAUGAUCUGCAUUAGUGGCAAUCUUUGGAAUCAGCUUGUCUAUGCAAUGCAGAACUUACAACCUUUGUGGCACUUUCUUCGAUCGGUAUUAGAUUGUUCUACUGUGUGAAAUGGACUCAGCCAUUGUUCAGAA